AGGAUAAACGCUGGCGGCGUGCAUGAGACAUGCAAGUCGAACGGACGAUCAGGGCUUGCUCUGAUCGUUAGUGGCGGACGGCUGAGUAACGCGUAGGUGACCUGCCCCGAAGUGGGGAAUAACUGCCCGAAAGGGUGGCUAAUACCGCAUGUGGUGGUGUGUUCAUUCACACCAGUAAAGCCGCAAGGCGCUUCGGGAGGGGCCUGCGUCCGAUUAGCUCGUUGGUGGGUAACGGCUCACCAAGGCGACGAUCGGUAGGUGGUCUGAGAGGACGAUCACCCAGACUGGGACUGAGACACGGCCCAGACUCCUACGGGAGGCAGCAGUCGGGAAUUUUGCGCAAUGGACGAAAGUCUGACGCAGCAACGCCGCGUGAGGGAUGAAGGCCUUCGGGUUGUAAACCUCUUUUAUCAGGGAAGAUAAUGACGGUACCUGAUGAAUAAGUCACGGCUAACUACGUGUCAGCAGCCGC
rnacentral:rRNA from 1 species